UGCGUCAGCAGGGAGAUAGAGUCGGGAGCAGAGCUGGGACAGGAGCCCAGGCACCUCGAUUUGGGACGCAGAGUCCCAGGAAGCCUCUCUCGGCUGCUGACUCCUCAACAUUCUCAUCUUAUACACGAAAAACCUGAAACCCAGAGGCCCUCCGUCGGUUCUCCCGGCUCUUUUUGAUUGCCCAUCCAUUAAGUGGUAGAACUGGACGUUCACUGGAACCCAGAGCUCCUCCCGAGGCCCUCAGGAAGGUGUGGAGGACAGCAGGGAAGAAGCCAAAGACACAAAACUCACGUCCUCGGGCUGGCCACGAGCAAGAGACUGCCUGGCACCACACCCUGCCCUGCCGAGUGGCCAGAGUCAGGUCCAGCCCUGGAGGCCUCACCCGUGGGCAUGUCCCAGCCCCUGCUGGGGGGCGGAGCCUCAGUGCCUGUGACGCAACCACACAGCCACCUCCAGCAGCGUCCAAGUCCCAAAGGCAUCCACCAGGGAGGAGGAGCCACAGGGAAGGUGUCACCUGCCUGGGCGAGAACCUGCCCUACCAUGCGCUUUGUGCACCUGCUCCCGAAACAGAAGGAAGGAAGCCUGGCAGGAGUGGGCCUGCUGACGAGCCCCCCUUUCACCUGGGAGGAAAAGCAGGGGUGUGACCUGAGGACCUCACCUGGCCCCCAGGUCUGUAGUAGCAGAGGCGAGAGCUGCACGCAGGGUCCCACUGCAGAUCCUGGGCACCCAUCAGUUUGCUGCUACUGCGUGUUCUGGAUGGUCCCGUGGUCCCUGAGUGAUGCCACAGUCCCUGGCUGUCCCCCCUCACCCUCGACGGGCUAGAAGCUCGCUACCCUCAGGGAUAGCACUGGAGGCGGGUGCUGUGUGCCCCUCACCCCCCAGGUCUGGAAGGAGCCUUGUGAACCAAGCAUGGGAGACGGGGAGCAAGAGCGAGACACAGAGACGCCUCGCUGAGUCUGCGUGUGGGCGGCAAAGCCCGGAGCACAGCGGCUCAGCAAAAAACCCCACAAAAAUAAAAAGGACGAAAAUACACUUCUGUGGGGUGGGACUCUCUGAGCGUCUCUUUGAUGAUGAGAAAGGUCAGGGUCAGAUACAGCCAAUGACAGAGCUGGGAUGGAACCUGGCCGACAGGGAGUUUGUCAGAAUGCAGAGCCCGUGCUCCUGCUGGGCCUGCCGGGCGGCGCAGCCCAGAUGCCCAGGCCGGAGCUCCAUGGGCGUCUUCCGGAUGACUGAGUGGGCGCGGGGAGCGGAACCGGGGCCCGGCUCGCAGCACCCUCACAGACCUGCCCGUGGCGUUUCUGCCUGCCUGGGAAGCAGGAAGGAGGAAUUAUUCUCAGCAGAGUCUGGGCCAGGCCGGAAGGAGAGAGCCAGACAUCUCCAGGUAGAGCGGCUUCCUGCUGUUCCCGGGCAAAUCAAAGCGCAGCGCCGCUCCACCCCGCAGCCCCCUGCGGCGCCUGACCCAGCCCUUUCAAGUGCAGCGGCCACGGGCCGGCAAAGCACACAACCGGAACCCGCCGCGCAAGGCAAAGGCUUGGAAUGAAACCGUCUCGCGAUGACAAUGCUUGUUCUUCUUUAAACUCGGCUCGAGAACAAAUGGCUUUUUUUUUUCUCUCCAGUGGAAAGACUGGACUGUGGCUUUCAUCCGUAGAGGCCUUGAUUUGGGGGGACCUCUCUUCUCACCCCCGGGGUGGGGAGAAACGGAGGUCUGCAGUCUGCCCCAGCUGGAAGGCCCAGGGCCUGGGCCUGGGGCUGCUCGGGCUCAGGGCCUGGGGGAGGGUUCGCUUUUAUCCUGCAGCACAGAAUAGGCAGUGCGCUGGGGUAAGCAUGCCAUCCUGGAGGGAACCUCCCUGCUCCCGCCCCUCAACCUGCUCUCCUGGAGGGCCCCUUGGGUCGGAGGGCGGGGAGCAGGCUCAGCGGAAGGCGGCAUGAGAGGCAGCCGAGGCCUGGGAUGACUCAGGAUAACGCCCGAGGGCUCGGGGUCAGAAGCUGCUGACCGCUGGGCUGUGAAGAAGCCGUCACACCUGGCCGAGGUGGCGCAGUAGACUUGAAACAGGGGAAGGUGGACAGGCCAGGUGGGCACUGCCUCGCUUCCCUCUGUCCAGCCCUGAGCCCACCCCCAGUCCACUCCCCAGGGAACCUUCUGCCGUGAAAGUCACCCCAGCUGGGGGAGCAGGAAGACCCCGGGGUGGGGGGACGGGAGGUUCCCCGGGGGGAGCCCUGCAGACGGCCCAGCCCAGCCAUUCCUCUGAGGGUCUGGUCUCUGGGCUGCAGCGCCUCCGGCCUCCAGCUGUGGGCUCUGUGCAGAGCGGACCCCCUCCCCCUGCCUGUGUCCUGGCUGUCCGGAGGGCAGGGGCCCCAGCACACUGGGCCUCGGCCCCCCAGGCUGGAACAGCCCAGCCCAGCUCCCAAGCCGCGUGCCCUGGCCACCCCCUAGACUGGUCCCCUGUGGGGAGAGAGGUUCUCCCAGCUGGGCCAUCAGCCAUUCUGUUCAAGUGCAGAGACGAAGGAGGCAGGGAGGGGUCAGGGAGGGAGAGCUGGAC
ensembl:lncRNA